rnacentral:rRNA from 1 species
AGUUCUCGUUGAUGAUCGGUGCUUGCACCGAGAUUCAACAUGGAACGAGUGGCGGACGGGUGAGUAACACGUGGGUAACCUGCCCUUAAGUGGGGGAUAACAUUUGGAAACAGAUGCUAAUACCGCAUAGAUCCAAGAACCGCAUGGUUCUUGGCUGAAAGAUGGCGUAAGCUAUCGCUUUUGGAUGGACCCGCGGCGUAUUAGCUAGUUGGUGAGGUAAUGGCUCACCAAGGCGAUGAUACGUAGCCGAACUGAGAGGUUGAUCGGCCACAUUGGGACUGAGACACGGCCCAAACUCCUACGGGAGGCAGCAGUAGGGAAUCUUCCACAAUGGACGCAAGUCUGAUGGAGCAACGCCGCGUGAGUGAAGAAGGCUUUCGGGUCGUAAAACUCUGUUGUUGGAGAAGAAUGGUCGGCAGAGUAACUGUUGUCGGCGUGACGGUAUCCAACCAGAAAGCCACGGCUAACUACGUGCCAGCAGCCGCGGUAAUACGUAGGUGGCAAGCGUUAUCCGGAUUUAUUGGGCGUAAAGCGAGCGCAGGCGGUUUUUUAAGUCUGAUGUGAAAGCCCUCGGCUUAACCGAGGAAGCGCAUCGGAAACUGGGAAACUUGAGUGCAGAAGAGGACAGUGGAACUCCAUGUGUAGCGGUGAAAUGCGUAGAUAUAUGGAAGAACACCAGUGGCGAAGGCGGCUGUCUGGUCUGUAACUGACGCUGAGGCUCGAAAGCAUGGGUAGCGAACAGGAUUAGAUACCCUGGUAGUCCAUGCCGUAAACGAUGAAUGCUAGGUGUUGGAGGGUUUC